UUCCUACGUAGCUCAGUUGGUUAGAGCAUGGUGCUGAUAACACCAAGGUCACAGGUUCAAUCCCUGUAUGGGAAA